GGCCUCGGGCCGGCACCGCCCGGAGCGGAGCGGGCAGUGCUGCCCGCGCCUAUCGCGGGGCCCGGGCGUCAUCCAGGGAUGCCCUUUCAAAAGUUUUGAAGAUGCUGAAUUAAAGAAUUUAACGAAGUGAUUUGCUGAGAGGGACAAGCUUCCAUUCCCGAUGCCUGCUGAAUCAAGACUAUCUGGUUUUGUUCUGGCUGAAAAAUCAGGAGAGAGGAAAUGUAUCUAUGACUUAAUCUACC